AUUGAACGCUGGCGGCAGGCCUAACACAUGCACGUCGAACGAGUGGCGGACGGGUGAGUAAUGUCUGGGAAAAUGCCUGAUGGAGGGGGCUAACUACUGGAAACGGUAGCUAAUACCGCAUACCAUCAGAUGUGCCCAGAUGGGAUUAGCGAGUUGGUGGGGUAACGGCUCACCAAGGCGACGAUCCCUAGCGGGUCUGAGAUGAUGACCAGCCACACUGGAACUGAGACACGGCCCAGACUCCUACGGGAGGCAGCAGUGGGGAAGAUUGCCAAAUGGGCGCAAGCCUGAUGCAGCCAGGCCGCGUGUUUGAAGAAGGCCUUCGGGUUGUAAAGUACUUUCAGCGGGGAGGCGUUACCCGCAGAAGAAGCACCGGCUAACUCCGUGCCAGCAGCCGCGGUAAUUC
rnacentral:rRNA from 1 species